rnacentral:rRNA from 1 species
AUACAUGCAAGUCGGACGAUAGAGAGGAGCUUGCUUUUCUCGAAAGUGGCGCACGGGUGCGUAACGCGUAUGCAACCUACCUUGAUCAGGGGGAUAGCCUCUCGAAAGAGAGAUUAACACCGCAUAACAUUAUGAAAGGGCAACCUUUUAUAAUCAAAUAUUUAUAGGAUCGAGAUGGGCAUGCGUGACAUUAGCUAGUUGGCGGGGUAACGGCCCACCAAGGCUACGAUGUCUAGGGGAUCUGAGAGGAUGGCCCCCCACACUGGUACUGAGACACGGACCAGACUCCUACGGGAGGCAGCAGUAAGGAAUAUUGGUCAAUGGGGGCAACCCUGAACCAGCCAUGCCGCGUGCAGGAAGACGGCCCUACGGGUUGUAAACUGCUUUUAUACGGGAAUAAAACCCGGUACGUGUACCGGGCUGAAUGUACUGUAGGAAUAAGGAUCGGCUAACUCCGUGCCAGCAGCCGCGGUAAUACGGAGGAUCCAAGCGUUAUCCGGAUUUAUUGGGUUUAAAGGGUGCGUAGGCGGCCUGUUAAGUCAGGGGUGAAAGACGGUGGCUCAACCAUCGCAGUGCCUUUGAUACUGACAGGCUUGAAUACACUAGAGGUAGGCGGAAUGUGACAAGUAGCGGUGAAAUGCAUAGAUAUGUCACAGAACACCGAUUGCGAAGGCAGCUUACUAUGGUGUCAUUGACGCUGAGGCACGAAAGCGUGGGGAUCAAACAGGAUUAGAUACCCUGGUAGUCCACGCCCUAAACGAUGAAUACUCGAUGUUGGCGAUAUACAGUCAGCGUCAAAGCGAAAGCGUUAAGUAUUCCACCUGGGGAGUACGCCCGCAAGGGUGAAACUCAAAGGAAUUGACGGGGGCCCGCACAAGCGGAGGAGCAUGUGGUUUAAUUCGAUGAUACGCGAGGAACCUUACCCGGGCUUGAAAGUUAGUGAAUUUUCCAGAGAUGGGAGAGUGAGCAAUCACACGAAACUAGGUGCUGCAUGGCUGUCGUCAGCUCGUGCC